CCUACGGGGGGCAGCAGUGAGGAAUAUUGGUCAAUGGGCUUACGCCUGAACCAGCCAAGCCGCGUGAGUGAAGACUGCCCUAUGGGUUUUAAACCUCUUUUGUCAGGGAGCAACGCCGUCUACGUGUAGCCUGACUGAUAGUACUUGAAGAAAAAGCAUCGGCAAACUCCGUGCCAGCAGCCGCGGUCAUUCGGAGGAUGCGAGCGUUAUCGGGAUUUAUUGGGUUUAAAGGGUGCGUAGGCGGAAUGCCAAGUCAGCGGUAAAAUCGCGGGGCUCAACCUCGCUCCGCCGUUGAGACUGGCGUUCUAGAGUGGGUGAGAAGUAUGCAGAAUGCGUGGUGUAGCGGUGAAAUGCGUAGAUAUCACGCAGAACUCCGAUUGCGAAGGCAGCAUCCCGGCGCCCAACUGACGCUGAAGCACGAAAGCGUGGGUAUCGAACAGGAUUAGAUACCCCUGUAGUC
rnacentral:rRNA from 1 species